AUGAUCUUCUCUCUAGUAUUUGUGCGGACAUAUCAAAGAUAUGAAACACAAAGAGUUUACGGCCUAGAAUACCAAUUUUGACUGGAAUCGGAUUCAAGAAAGUGGACAGGAAGUAAGUUGAACCACUUUACGGGCCUGGGUAUACAGGUCUUACCAAUCUUGGUAACAGUUGCUAUUUGGCUGCAACUGUUUGGUCAACUACAGGGACCUUUGUGUACUUUACUAUUCUUUUUAAGGCUGAUGCUUCCGGAUAUGAAGAGGCAUGCAGAAAAUUGCUACAUUUUGAUCGUGUAGAAAGCGAAAUAAAUGCUCGAGUUUUCUAUUCAAAUGCGGAGCAAAGAGAAGCGAUAGUUGCUGCAAAGAGGCGUGCUGUUGAUGAAAGAGUGAAAAAAGAAUCGAACUAAAAAUAAGGUGACGGUCUGCAAUGGAAUUGAUAACAACUUUGCGGUUAUAAAUCAGAAAGGGAUCGAUCCUCCAUUGCUGGAUCUUCUUGCUAGGGCAGGGGUAGCUGAUACUAGAUCAAAAGGAGAAAUAUGGAGCGAUUGGUUUUGGCUUGUGUGAUUCGUUACAAAAGUGCAGUUCCAACAUAUUUGAUGUUUCGAUGUGGAUGUUUUAUUAUGA
rnacentral:lncRNA from 1 species